AGCGAACGCUGGCGGCGUGCUUAACACAUGCAAGACGAGUGCGCGCCUGUAGCAAUACAGGUGGCGCACGGCGCACGGGUGCGUAACACGUGGGUAAUCUGCCCUUCGAAGGGGAAUAACUCGCCGAAAGGCGAGCUAAUUCCGCAUAACAUUCCGAGAACUUUGGUUUUUGGAUUCAAAGGCGUAAGUCGUCGGAGGAGGAGCCCGCGCACGAUUAGCUAGUUGGUAGGGUAACGGCCUACCAAGGCUAUGAUCGUUAGCUGGUCUGAGAGGAUGGCCAGCCACACUGGAACUGAGACACGGUCCAGACUCCUACGGGAGGCAGCAGUGGGGAAUCUUGCACAAUGGGCGAAAGCCUGAUGCAGCGACGCCGCGUGGGGGAUGAAGCUUCUCGGAGUGUAAACCCCUUUCGACCCGGACGAAUGCCCCGCAAGGGGACUGACGGUACGGGUAUAAGAAGCCCCGGCUAACUACGUGCCAGCAGCCGCGGUAAGACGUAGGGGGCCAGCGUUGCUCGGAAUUACUGGGUGUAAAGGGUUCGUAGGCGGUGUGGCAAGUCGGGAGUGAAAUCUCUGGGCUCAACCCAGAGUCUGCUUCCGAAAUUGCUGUGCUUGAGUGUGGGAGAGGCGCGUGGAAUUGCAGGUGUAGCGGUGAAAUGCGUAGAUAUCUGCAGGAACACCCGUGGCGAAAGCGGCGCGCUGGACCACUACUGACGCUGAGGAACGAAAGCUAGGGGAGCAAGCAGGAUUAGAUACCCUGGUAGUCCUAGCCCUAAACGAUCAGGACUUGGGGUGCCACCCGUUCGGGUGUCGUCCCGGAGCUAACGCGUUAAGCCCUGCACCUGGGGAGUACGGUCGCAAGACUG
rnacentral:rRNA from 1 species